rnacentral:rRNA from 1 species
CAGGAGCUUGCUCCUGUGAUUAGUGGCGAACGGGUGAGUAACACGUGAGUAACCUGCCCCUGACUCUGGGAUAAGCGUUGGAAACGACGUCUAAUACUGGAUAUGACCGCCGAUCGCAUGGUCUGGUGGUGGAAAGAUUUUUUGGUUGGGGAUGGACUCGCGGCCUAUCAGCUUGUUGGUGAGGUAAUGGCUCACCAAGGCGACGACGGGUAGCCGGCCUGAGAGGGUGACCGGCCACACUGGGACUGAGACACGGCCCAGACUCCUACGGGAGGCAGCAGUGGGGAAUAUUGCACAAUGGGCGAAAGCCUGAUGCAGCAACGCCGCGUGAGGGAUGACGGCCUUCGGGUUGUAAACCUCUUUUAGUAGGGAAGAAGCGAAAGUGACGGUACCUGCAGAAAAAGCACCGGCUAACUACGUGCCAGCAGCCGCGGUAAUACGUAGGGUGCAAGCGUUGUCCGGAAUUAUUGGGCGUAAAGAGCUCGUAGGCGGUUUGUCGCGUCUGCUGUGAAAUCCCGAGGCUCAACCUCGGGCUUGCAGUGGGUACGGGCAGACUAGAGUGCGGUAGGGGAGAUUGGAAUUCCUGGUGUAGCGGUGGAAUGCGCAGAUAUCAGGAGGAACACCGAUGGCGAAGGCAGAUCUCUGGGCCGUAACUGACGCUGAGGAGCGAAAGCGUGGGGAGCGAACAGGAUUAG